UACGUAGGGUGCGAGCGUUAAUCGGAAUUACUGGGCGUAAAGCGUGCGCAGGCGGUGAUGUAAGACAGGUGUGAAAUCCCCGGGCUUAACCUGGGAACUGCAUUUGUGACUGCAUCGCUGGAGUGCGGCAGAGGGGGAUGGAAUUCCGCGCGUAGCAGUGAAAUGCGUAGAUAUGCGGAGGAACACCGAUGGCGAAGACAAUCCCCUGGGCCUGCACUGACGCUCAUGCACGAAAGCGUGAGGAGCAAACAGG
rnacentral:rRNA from 1 species